AUCAUGCAGCCACCGGCGUAGCGUGGGGGAAGCGGUCCGCCCCGGCUGUCACCGUCAGAGGGUAGUGCCUUUUGUCACUUUACGUUGACGGUCUAUCUAAACCAACCCCAAUUUACAAAAAAUAAAACAAUUCUUAUUCAAAGGAUUUCGAUAUUGAUUGUAUUUUCCAACAGACACCAUGAACUGAAUUUGCACUCAAUGGACUCUUGAUUUGUUGCGAUUUCAUGGACAUGUUUCCAGGAGCUUCCGUACAAAUGAGCCAAUGGAGUUUGUUUCAAGACAAAAUUAUUUAAAAAAUCAAAUAUUUGCACCCAUCUCUAAACAAUCAGUUCAUUCAUUCAAUACUAAUUAUUAAAGAAAAAAUCCAUCCCGUGGAACCAAAAGGACUAAUAAAGGAUCGCAGAAAAUAACUAAUCUGUUGGAAGGCAUUGUCGAAUGGAUAAAUCCGGAAGACGACAUUAAUCACUACGUCAUGAGCAACCAGGGCGCACAAAAUCCGGUGAUGAUCAUUUAAGGACAUUUAUAUUCCGAGGGAGAAUGUUUUAUUCGCAUAGGACAGACAUUUUUUCCAGUAGGGCUUGAUAUUGAGUACGCAUUUUUCACAAUGAUCGAGACACAUUAUUUUUUCAACUGUAAGUUUGAGCCAUCACAUGCCAACUUUUUUCCUUUUUCUACGGGAGCUAUUUUGAAUGUAUCCAAACCAUCAAAGGCCGUAAAUAA